AAGAGAAGAGAAGAGAAGAGAAGAGAAGAGAAGAGAAGAGAAGAGAAGAAGGACCCAAGGAUAAGAGACUACCUGCAUUGUGAAAAAGAGGAGACUUUUAGAAACAAUGACCUGAGGACAGAAGACAAAACAAAGAAGACAAAGACAAGUAUAUGUGACUGCCUGCACUGUGAGAGUAGAGGUCAUGAUGUUACAAAAAAAACAAGACAGAAAAAGAACAAGAAGGAGCCAGUGUGGACGUGCUCUGGAUGA